GAUGAACGCUGGCGGCGUGCCUAAUACAUGCAAGUCGAGCGAACAGAUGAGGAGCUUGCUCCUCUGACGUUAGCGGCGGACGGGUGAGUAACACGUGGAUAACCUACCUAUAAGACUGGGAUAACUUCGGGAAACCGGAGCUAAUACCGGAUAAUAUAUUGAACCGCAUGGUUCAAUAGUGAAAGACGGUUUUGCUGUCACUUAUAGAUGGAUCCGCGCCGCAUUAGCUAGUUGGUAAGGUAACGGCUUACCAAGGCAACGAUGCGUAGCCGACCUGAGAGGGUGAUCGGCCACACUGGAACUGAGACACGGUCCAGACUCCUACGGGAGGCAGCAAUAGGGAAUCUUCCGCAAUGGGCGAAAGCCUGACGGAGCAACGCCGCGUGAGUGAUGAAGGUCUUAGGAUCGUAAAACUCUGUUAUUAGGGAAGAACAAAUGUGUAAGUAACUAUGCACGUCUUGACGGUACCUAAUCAGAAAGCCACGGCUAACUACGUG
rnacentral:rRNA from 1 species